UUUAGAGCAGUAGCUCCCAGAGGGAUCUUGCAUGGAGGCCAAAGGCUCUUGGAACCAGGGAGGCAUGUUAGGAGGCAUCUGAUGAAGAUGGCCGGAAUUCGAGCAGUGGAAGGAGAAAUGGACAGGCAAAAGUGGCCCAAGGAAGUUUGAGAGGAAAGGCCACUCUUAGGACCUGCUGCCCUGAGCCGAUGAUCACACAUGGCCCAUCAGUGCAGCAGAAGUGUUGGCCAAGAGAGCUUCAUGGAGUUAACUGAACCAAUAUAGUGAAAUAUACUGAAUUUGGAAAGAUAAGGGAAGAGAAGGCCCAGGAAGUGGAGGAUGACUGCCAAACCCAAGAAGACCUCAGAGCUGAAAAGUCAAAGAAAAGAGGAUGGGACAAGGCAAUACCAUCAUGAUUUCCCUCAUGUGCAGGAAAAUGGGGACAAUCUCUCAGGUUUAGAGGGCAUAAGCGAGAGAAAGGGAGGAUGAACAUAUUGGUCUAUUCAUUAAAUGUUUUAAGUGCCUAUAGUG